rnacentral:rRNA from 1 species
UACGUAGGGCGCAAGCGUUGUCCGGAAUUAUUGGGCGUAAAGAGCUCGUAGGCGGUUUGUCGCGUCGAAUGUGAAAUCCCGGGGCUCAACCCCGGGUCUGCAUUCGAUACGGGCAGACUAGAGUUCGGUAGGGGAGUCUGGAAUUCCUGGUGUAGCGGUGAAAUGCGCAGAUAUCAGGAGGAACACCGGUGGCGAAGGCGGUUCUCUGGGCAUUACCUGACGCUGAGGAGCGAAAGCAUGGGGAGCAAACAGG